rnacentral:rRNA from 1 species
CCUGAUCCAGCCAUGCCGCGUGUGUGAAGAAGGCCUUAUGGUUGUAAAGCACUUUAAGCGAGGAGGAGGCUACUGAAGUUAAUACCUUCAGAUAGUGGACGUUACUCGCAGAAUAAGCACCGGCUAACUCUGUGCCAGCAGCCGCGGUAAUACAGAGGGUGCAAGCGUUAAUCGGAAUUACUGGGCGUAAAGCGUGCGUAGGUGGUUGUUUAAGUCUGUUGUG